GGCCCGCAACAGGUGAGCGCUCAGUUCUGCUCUUGUGGCCAGAGCUUACAGUACGCGGAACGGGAACACUUGAGAACGGAACAGGUCAGAGCACCGCCAGCAGCCUGAGCGCGCCUUUAAGCCAAGCUGAGCCGAGCCGAGCUUUCGGCUCUGAAUAAUUUGUGUGAGAGUGGUUUUUGUUGCUGGGUGUGCCGCAGCAGUGCGACGUGAACGGGCGAGCGGCCAACACGUAAGCGGCGCGUUGUGCAGUGGAAACGAAAGAGUGAGAGAAACAGACGACAAUAAGCAGCAGCAGCAGCAGCAACAGCAGCAACUCAGGUGUGAAUUGAUAUUGAGGUUAUGUAAGCGUCAGGCCAUAAAAACGCGCAUACAAAACGCUGCUGCAUUGGCCAGGCCACACGUUUGCCAAUAAUUCAAGACACGCGCCUUGCCCCGAUCCACUCCGCACCCCCUUCAGCUGGAGAGAUUCGCAUUCCAAAUGGACGACUCCAAGGCGCAGCCGCAGCCGCAGCAGCAGCAAACCCAUCCUUUGGAAGAUGUGUCCCUCAAUGAGAAUGAUGACGACAAACAGACGCCCAAAAAUUGGGUUAAAUUCGAUGAUGAGGCAGACGGCAGUGAAAAAAAUAAUAACAGUAACGGCAGCGAUGCCACACAACAGCAACAGCAACAACAAGAACAGCAGCCGCCGCAGCCGCAGCAGCGGCAAAACAAGUUAGCUCUGCCGCCGCCGCCGUCGGUUGUGAGCAGCAACAACAACAGGCGGGCGCGCUCGCGCAGUCCGAAUCAACUAUCGACAACAACAACAACACCUGUCCAGCGCCCAGCCGUUUCCUCGACAACAGCUGCGUCCCCAGCCCCAGUCCCGGCACCAGGCACAGCCGCAACCUCGUCGCCGGAUGUGGCGCCCGCUGUUUUGACAACUGAGAGUACGCACGUUAAUCUGAAUGCAUCCGGCAGUGGCAUUGUCAGUGGCAACGUUGCCAGCGGGGCGAGCGGCUCCACCCCGGCCCGACACCCCCAGCAGCUAAUAAACCAAAAAGCAACGGUAGCCUCAGCAUCCUCCGUCCAGGCUCCAGCCUCGUCCUCCAGCCACCAUAACGGCAACGGGGCCCAUGGCAGCAGCAGCACCAGCAUACCCAUGGAUCAGGGCUCCGGCAUGCGCACAAUUGAACUGUCAACGGGUCGCAUCCGUGAGGGAUUUGCGAAUGGCGAUGUGAUUGUCACACUGCUUCCGGCCAACACCAAAUGGCCUUGGAUUACGCCCGCAAUAUUUCGUCCGGAGCUGGUGCCGGAGGAGUUGAUGGCCCAGGGUCUGACGCUCACAGUGGAGGACUAUGUGAAUGCGAUGGAGACGCUGGUGAAUGAUUACCGCUUCACCGUGUACAACAUUUGCUACAAGCGCAUCCUCGUCUGCUGGAUCCUGUUCGCCUUCACCGUGCUGCUGGCGUUGCUGUUCUCGGGCCUGCAGGGCGUGGCGCUGUUCGCACUGGGCGUGGGCUGGUUAUUCUUGAAUGCGGCGGCCAUAUUCCUGUGCAUGUGGGUGAAAUUGCGGCUGUCGCGCGGCCUGGAGAAGUGCCUGGCCCGGGUCAACAAGCAGCUGAUGCGUCACAAAAUACUCCUGGUGCUGGAUGACCGAGGCCGCAUCUCGUGCCACAAGGUCAACCUCUGCUUCAUGUACUUCGAUGCCACGCAGUGCGUGAGCUUCCUCAACGAGUUCCUGGAGCACACGGAGCAAAACGGCGGCGAGGCCAUCAAGGCGGGCUGGGAGGCCAAGCUGGACAUUGAUCUGAACGAUAUUGUCAUUCAGGGCAGUCAGCCAGUGAGGAUGCCGCGUAAGCAGGAGCGCGGACUGCAGCUGUUUCUGCGCUACGGCUCCCGUUGGGGCAUGGAGGCGCUGCGGGGCCUGGUGGACGUCACGCCCCUAGAGCCGGGCCGCCACUGCGGGCAGUUUCAGUGCCCCUGCCAGUACAUCAAAGAGCACUUGCAGUGCAAACCGCGAGCUGGCAGACGUUUGUAUCUAUGCUGAUGGCUGAUGGCUGGUGUCUGGUGGCUGAUGGCCGAUGCGGCUAUUAUAUGUAUGAUGGAAAGCGUCAACUAUCUUAUUUGUGGCCAUCAAAAGUGCCAUGGUUAGAGAGAGGGGAGGCUGGCAUGCCUGUGGGCGUGGCAAGCGCUGAUGGCCAGCACUUUGUGCAUUUCAUUCUAGAGGAAAAUACGAGCACUGGUUGCCCUAACCAGAGGAAAUUGUGUGAUUGGAUUUCAAAUAGAAACAUUCUUUCCUUUCCUUUAGCUGGUGAGAAAGAUCAAACUUUA
rnacentral:misc_RNA from 1 species